CUGGCCGCUUCCGGGAGCAGUGCGAGGCCCACGGCGCCACAGGGGUGGCAAUCCCGUGAGCUAGAUCCAAAGCCCUGAUGGGCCGGAUCCGGCCCGUGGGCCGUAGUUUUCCCACCCCUGCCCUACGUCCUAGGUGACUCAGGAGCCUGGCUGAGUAAAAUACUAAAUAAUCCAGCUGUGCAAGACCAUAUGCAAAAACCACAAGUUUAUCAUCGGCUGCCCUCUGCAGAGCUCCACUUGUUGGCUAAAGGCACCUGCACCGGAAGCGUCUGUUGAGCAAUGUCCACUGGCCUCGCCCUCCCUGCAUGGAGGGUCCUGAGGGUAUGAAAAGGGAAGUGGCCUCCACAUCAUCAUUCUAACCACCACAGCUCUCUCCUCAUGUCAGCAACCUCCAUGGGGACCUGGACAGUCAGACCAUCCAUCGCCUUCUUAACACACACCUGGCAGCCUAGACGUGAUCUGAAAAGCAGACAACAGAAUAAGCCUCAUACAUUUUUAUGGCAAAGGAAAGAGCCCACUAGCUCUCACCAGCAAUACCCAUACCAUUCGUUUGUCUCCAGAUUCAUACAGCAGCUCAGCUAUCAAAGGAUGGAGCUAGCACUACCCUCUCCCUCCCCCAGAGGAAGGAGAUUCUCAAGAUACAUUCGUAAUAGAAAAUAAAUUACACCCUCUGAGUAAUGUGUGCCUUAUAAACACUGAGAGUCUAGACUACAAGGAGCGAGACAGAACAUUCCCAGUCCAGAAAGUGGUGCAUUUCUGUGUGCCAACUCCAACAGGCAGAAAUGCUUACGUAUCAGUGAGUCCAUAGGCCAAAUCCAGCAUGUCCAGCUCCUCAUCUGUAAUGGCAUCCAACUUUUGAAAGACGUCCUCCUCAAAGAUGAGGUGACACGUGGAGCAGGCCAAUGUACCUUCACAGGCACCUGCAGGAAGUGGGAGGGGUCAGCACAAUGCAUCAGAGAACAGCAAGGAGGGAGGGAAGACACUCUUCAGGAAUUGUGAAAAGAGGUGGUCCUGCCUAUACCCAGGCUGAAAGUACAUCAGGAGAGGUUUCAGAGGGAAAUCAAGGAGCCAGUCUUGCUACUAACAAAUUUACUGACAGCCCCGCACCUCUUAUCCAGAAGGAUCCCAAAGCCAAAUGAAUACAUAGUUGAAAUAUGAACAUAUUUGAUACAUCCAGAAAAAUAAAUAACUACAUUAAUACAGUCUGUGGGGUGCCAGCUAGGAUGGGAGUUGCACAGAUAUUGCCGCUCUAGCCCUUUAAAUGAGACAGGGAUGUGAAACCUCUGCACCCCGGACACAUACAUACUCACUAACGAUCGUGUGGCAGAGAGAGAGAGAGAGAGAGAGAGGAGCUGGCCCCCAGUUCAGCGAUCCGAGUUUGACCCAAUUGCAGAACUGAUGAUAACCAGAACAGUGAAUGACGUUGCCAGACCAUUGCAAGCACGUCUGCAGUCUCGCAAUUCCCUGCGUUGUUUAUUUCACAUUUGUGUUUGACCCUUGGGAGCUUUAUUAUUGCACCUACCAAAGCCAUCGAUGCCCAGGUUUUGAUUAACCACCACUUCCAGCAAACUCUCCCCUUCUUUGGCUGUGGCCGUGAGUCUCUCUCCAUCCCGGUUUAUAAAAUGCACCGUCACUCUGUCCGCAGAGCUGUCAAACAAGUUACAGGAGGUCAGCGCAAGCUGGGCCACUGCUACCUAUGAAACAACUGCCAGCUGAGCAGGAGAAUGAGGCAGUGAUCACAUGAGCUGCCCUGUGCUGCUCUGGGUUCCUCCUGGAAGCAAAGUUGUCGAGAUACCCCAAGAGAAGCUGUCUGCAUGCUGGUUCUGGAAAUCUCAUGAAACAACCUGUUCUGGCCCAGUUUGGCAGAUCAAUUAUAUCUGAAUUACAGAUGCUGAACUUCACCAUCUGCUGAAUGCUUUGAAGUUCAAAAAUCACUACAGUAAAAUGUCAGAAACCGCACACCCCAAGAUUACAAAAUCAGGACCGAUAGUGCUAACAUGACAGGUGAAGGGUUCCGAAAACAACAUCCAAGAGAGAAGUGGAAAUCUCAGAUGAGGUGAAAUCAUUCUUGCAGAAGGGAAUUUGCAAUUUAAAUUGACAGCCCAAGAGACCCAAGUCCUAUAGCUAUCCACAGAACAGGGCUGCCAACACUGACCUAGAAGAACCACCUCUAGGGAGGAGAGGAAAAGAUCAGCCUCUGUAUCUCAUUCAGUCCUUAAGAACAUAAGGACGGCCAUUGUGGGUCAGACCCACGGUCCAUAUAGCCCAGUAUCCUAACUUCUGAUAGUUGCCAGUGCCAGAUGCUUCAGAGGGAAUGAACAGAACAGGGCAAUUAGUGAGAGAUCCAUCCCUGUCAUCCAGUCCCAGCUUCAGACAAUAAGAGGUUUAGGGAUACCCAGAGCAUGGGGUUGUGUCCCUGACCAUCUUGGCUAAUAGCUAUUGAUGGACCUACCUUCCAUGAACUUAGCUAUUCUUUUUGAACGCAGUUACACUUUUGGCCUUCACAACAUCCCAUGGCAACAAAUUCCACAGGUUGACUGUGCCUUGUGUUUCUUAUGUUUGUUUUAACCCUGCUACCUAUUAAUUUAAUUGGGU